rnacentral:misc_RNA from 1 species
GAAAUGCGAUAAGUAGUGUGAAUUGCAGAAUUCAGUGAAUCAUCGAAUCUUUGAACGCACAUUGCGCCCUUUGGUAUUCCAAAGGGCAUGCCUGUUCGAGCGUCAUUUGUACCCUCAAGCUUUGCUUGGUGUUGGUCGUCUUGUCUCUAGCUUUGCUGGAGACUCGCCUUAAAGUAAUUGGCAGCCGGCCUACUGGUUUCGGAGCGCAGCACAAGUCGCACUCUCUAUCAGCAAAGGUCUAGCAUCCAUUAAGCCUUUUUUUCAACUUUUGACCUCGGAUCAGGUAGGGAUACCCGCUGAACUUAAGC